GACGAACGCUGGCGGCGUGGAUUAGGCAUGCAAGUCGAACGGUAUCAUCCUUUCGGGGGUGAGAGAGUGGCGAACUGGUGAGUAACACGUAGGUUAUCUACCCUCAAGACGGGGACAACCCAGGGAAACUUGGGCUAAUACCGGAUGUGAGCAACUUUUAGUUGUUUGAAAGGUGGCGUAAGCUGUCGCUUGGGGAUGAGCCUGCGUCCUAUUAGUUAGUUGGUGAGGUAACGGCUCACCUAGGCAAUGAUAGGUAGGCGGCCUUAACGGGUGGUCGCCCACACUGGGAUUGAGAUACGGCCCAGACUCCUACGGGAGGCAGCAGUCGAGAAUAGUCUACAAUGGUCGGAAGACUGAUAGUGCGACGCCGCGUGAACGAUGAAUCCCUUCGGGGUGUAAAGUUCUUUUAUAUGUGAGCAGUGCUUCUUAUAUUUAAGAGUAUGGGGAGAGAGAUAUUAGCAUACGAAUAAGCAACGGCUAACUCCGUG
rnacentral:rRNA from 1 species